GCUCCCGGAAGCGGCACGGGAGGCGACCGUGCUCGCCGUUGGCAGGCUAGGGUUGGCGGCGGCGUAUUCUGUUUGUUUUAAACGAAGGAGCGGAGGGAGGGGCCGCGCCGCGGAGCGUGCCUAAGGUGAAAGGGCUGCCGUGCAGCCAGGCAGAGGCGAGGAAGGCUUCUCCAUCGUCGCCACCGCCCGCCUGUUUCGCCGGCAACAGGUUCCCCCGGGACGGGAGGGGCCGCAGCGCCGCGCAGCUCGCAGCGCUGAACGUCGCGGAAAUCCCUUGGCCGGCCGAGCCUCCGCAGCCGCGACCCGGCUUCUCUCCGUCCGAGUCCCCCGAGCCUCUCCGAACCCCCGUUGGACUUCCCCUCCCUGGCCGGCGCCGCCCGACCCGCUCCCCCAUCCUAGAGGGAAUUCCCUGCGCCGCGGCUGUGAGGCACCUCCACCCCGGCCUGAAAUGCACCGCAGUCCUGAAGGAAAUCCACCCUCAUCCCACGCAGAUUCACCCGCAACGCUGCCUGAAUACGCCUCGCUGCCCACAGAAAUUCCUGCCCAAACCAGACGCGUGGACCACCCAAGACGAAAUUCACACUCGACCCUAGCCCCGCCAGCCCUUGCCGAAAUCACCCUAAACCCGUUGAAAUUAAUUCCCAGCUGUCCGAAUUUUCCUUCCAACAUUAACUGACUACCUGUCUCCGCCAAGCUGACUGAACUCUACCGAACUCUUACCCUGAAAGCCCCUGAGAGUCCAAAAUAUAUUUUUCCAGCCCGAAAUCUAAAUCCCAGUUCUCUGUAUGAAAACCUCCAGAAACCCAGACUCUUACUUCCUUCGGCCACGGACUCGUUCGAACAUCGUGGACAUCACCUUCCCACAUUUUUACCGCAGUCUUUGGCUCCGAUUCUUUGUCCCUGCCUCUUGGGCAGCAUCCUAUCCCUGUUUCUUUCCACCUUUGAGGAUUCCUCUACCUCUUUAAAGGCCUGCUUUCUUUGCUUUCUCUUCUCACCUUUGGCAUUGGCACACUGGGGUCAUAUCUUUAGUUCCCUUGACUCCACCAUCUAAGCCAAGGGUGUCCAAUCUUUUGGCUUCCCUGGGCUACAUUGGAAGGAGAAAAAUUGUCUUGGACCACAUAUAAAAUAUUCUAACGCUAAUGGUAGCUGAUGAAACUUUUAAAAAAUCUCAUCAUGUUUUAAGAAGUUUACGAAUUUGUGCUGAGCCGCAUUCAAAGCCGUCCUGGGCCUAAGUCCUUGCUAUUUUUCCUCUUCAAUUUCCUUCAAUCCAUAGUUCUCUAGGUUAUUUUCCCACCCUUUCCCAAGAUUCGGAUAUCCCUUCAUUCUUGCUGAGUUCAUCUCCUAUGCCUAUUCCUACAUACUUGCUGAGUUCAUCUUCUAAUGUCCUCAUCCUGGUUUCUUCCUGAACCUGAAAUCCAGCUAACCUUACUUUUUCAUCCCAUCAAACCCCUGCUGUUGCCAGCCCAGCACUCACGAAGAUCUUUACAUACACCAAAUAUUAAAUUAGGGCCGGUACCUAGACAUUGUCUCUGCACUCUGCUGGCAUAUUUUCCCCUGGACCACGAACCCUUCGUACCUAGUAACUUGCCACCUGUGUUUAUAAAUACCAGCAAUUUGAUUUACAGGGUGAAUUUGUCACUAUUGUUUACUUUUAAAUGAAGUUACUGUAUUUGUUGUUUCCAUUAAAGGCGACAUUAUAAAGCCUAGGCCUCAUAUCCAAAGCAAAUAAAGUCUCAAUUUUUUAAUUAAAAGUAACAAAAGGAAACCUCACACUUCUGAACAACAAUGACAAGAAGGAAUGCCUAUAAUUGGUUUGGGUCACAAUGUACAUAUUGAAAUAAAAUUUUUAUUAAGUAUCAACUUCCAGGUACACAAUGAAGUUUUAAAUGUUUAUCUGUGACAUAUGAAGAACAAAGCAAUCUAAACUGAUGUAAGCAGGCUGUCAUAAGGUACAUGCUGAGGAAUUUAUUCAACAAAUUGAAUAAAUUUAUUCAAUAAAUAAAUAAUUAUUCAAUAAAUAAUAUAUUUAAUAAAUUUAAUAAAUAGAA